rnacentral:misc_RNA from 1 species
CCGCAAGGUACCGAGGGUUCGAAUCCCUCCCUCUCCGCCAUUACAUUUUUGACGAUUCUCUUUGCCGCCACAGGUGGCAGUCGGGUCCCGCGCAACGGGCGGUCGUGAACCCCGUCAGGCCCGGAAGGGAGCAGCGGUAACGGCGCAGCCGGUGUGCCGCGGGGGUGCCUGACUGCCACUUGUGGCGGCAAAGUUUUUCCGG